rnacentral:rRNA from 1 species
ACCCAAUAGAUACCCCGGUAGUCCACGCCCUAAACGAUGUCAACUGGUUGUUGGGGAAGGUAACUUCCUUAGUAACGAAAGCUAAACGCGUGAAAGUUGACCGCCUGGGGAGUACGGCCGCAAGGUUAAAACUCAAAGGAAUUGACGGGGACCCGCACAAGCGGUGGAUGAUGUGGAUUAAUUCGAUGCAAACGCGAAGAACCUUACCUACCCUUGACAUGUAGCGAACCCUGCUGAGAGGCGGGGGUGCCCGAAAGGGAGCGCUAACACAGGUGCUGCAUGGCUGUCGUCAGCUCGUGUCGUGAGAUGUUGGGUUAAGUCCCGCAACGAGCGCAACCCUUGUCACUAGUUGCUACGAAAGGGCACUCUAGUGAGACUGCCGGUGACAAACCGGAGGAAGGUGGGGAUGACGUCAAGUCCUCAUGGCCCUUAUGGGUAGGGCUUCACACGUCAUACAAUGGCGCAUACAGAGGGUUGCCAACCCGGCGAGGGGGUAGCCAAUCCCAGAAAGUGCGUCGUAGUCCGGAUUGUUCUCUGCAACUCGAGAGCAUGAA